rnacentral:rRNA from 1 species
UACGGGGGGGGCAAGCGUUGUUCGGAAUUACUGGGCGUAAAGGGCUCGUAGGCGGCCAACUAAGUCGGACGUGAAAUCCCCAGGCUCAACCUGGGAACUGCGUCCGAUACUGGAUGGCUUGAAUCCGGGAGAGGGAUGCAGAAUUCCAGGUGUAGCGGUGAAAUGCGUAGAUAUCUGGAGGAAUACCGGUGGCGAAGGCGGCAUCCUGGACCGGCAUUGACGCUGAGGAGCGAAAGCCAGAGGAGCAAACGGG